GAGUGGCCGUCGUCGGUG
rnacentral:misc_RNA from 1 species